rnacentral:rRNA from 1 species
UACAUGCCAAAAGCGAACGGUAACAGGAAGCAGCUUGCUGUUUCGCUGACGAGUGGCGGACGGGUGAGUAAUGUCUGGGAAACUGCCUGAUGGAGGGGGAUAACUACUGGAAACGGUAGCUAAUACCGCAUAACGUCGCAAGACCAAAGAGGGGGACCUUCGGGCCUCUUGCCAUCGGAUGUGCCCAGAUGGGAUUAGCUAGUAGGUGGGGUAACGGCUCACCUAGGCGACGAUCCCUAGCUGGUCUGAGAGGAUGACCAGCCACACUGGAACUGAGACACGGUCCAGACUCCUACGGGAGGCAGCAGUGGGGAAUAUUGCACAAUGGGCGCAAGCCUGAUGCAGCCAUGCCGCGUGUAUGAAGAAGGCCUUCGGGUUGUAAAGUACUUUCAGCGGGGAGGAAGGGAGUAAAGUUAAUACCUUUACUCAUUGACGUUACCCGCAGAAGAAGCACCGGCUAACUCCGUGCCAGCAGCCGCGGUAAUACGGAGGGUGCAAGCGUUAAUCGGAAUUACUGGGCGUAAAGCGCACGCAGGCGGUUUGUUAAGUCAGAUGUGAAAUCCCCGGGCUCAACCUGGGAACUGCAUCUGAUACUGGCAAGCUUGAGUCUCGUAGAGGGGGGUAGAAUUCCAGGUGUAGCGGUGAAAUGCGUAGAGAUAAGUAGAAUAGUACGAUAUGAUGACAAGGCU